AUACGUAGGGUGCUAGCGUUAAUCGGAAUUACUGGGCGUAAAGCGUGCGCAGGUGGUUUUGUAAGUCAGAUGUGAAAUCCCCGGGCUUAACCUGGGAACUGCGUUUGAAACUGCAAGGCUAGAGUGUGGCAGAGGGGGGUGGAAUUCCGCGUGUAGCAGUGAAAUGCGUAGAGAUGUGGAGGAACACCGAUGGCGAAGGCAGCCCCCUGGGUCAGCACUGACGCUCAGGCACGAAAGCAUGCGGAGCAAACAGGAUUAGAUACCCCGGUAGUCC
rnacentral:rRNA from 1 species